GGGUAAAAAAUUUUUUUUUUUAAAUCAUUAAUAGUUAAAAAAUUUAAUUUUAAGUAAAUAAAUUGAAUAAAUUAAAUGAAUUGUAUUUUAAAUGUAUUGUAAAAGAAAAAAUUAUUUUAUUAAAUUAAAGUUUUAUUUAUUUUACCUUUUGUAUCAGGGUUGAUUAAAAUUUUUUAGUUAAAAGUAAAAAUUUCGAAAUUAAUAGAGAUAAAAUUUUAAAAAGUUAAAGUAAUAAAUUUAUUUAAAAUAAAAUUUUUGUAAUUAAAUGUUAAUCGAAAUUAAUAAUAUCUAAUUUUUUAAUAAAUAAAUUUAAUUUAUAAUUUUUUAUAUACAUGUUAUAUUAUAAAUAUAUAAAUGUAAAUAAAAAUUUAAAUAUUUUAAGGGAUGAACUUUAAAAUUUAAUUAAAAAUAUAUAUUAAUAUGUAAUUAAUUUAUAGAAUAUAAUUUAAAAUUUUAAUUUUUAGAAAAAAUGUAAUUAUUUAUUUGGAAGUUAUUAAUAUUAAUUUUUAAUAUAUUUUAAUUUAUAUAUUAAAAUAUAAUUAUAAAUAUUUUUUAAUUAUUAAUAAUGAUUAAAUUAGUAAAAAAAUUUCGUAUUUAUGUAAUAAAUUUUUGUUAUUAAAUUAAUUUUAAUGAAUUAAGCAAAAAAUUUAUAUUUACCUGUUUAUUAAAAACAUGUCUUUAAAGUUUAUUUAUUUAAAGUCUAUUCUGCUCAAUGAAAAUUUUAAAUAGCUGCAAUAUUUUUGAUUGUACUAAGGUAGCGUAAUAAAAAGUUUUUUAAUUGAAAAAUUGUAUGAAAGAUUAUAUAAGAUAUAUACUUUAUUAAAAUUAAAAUUUUAAAAUUUAUUUAUAAGUAAAAAAUCUUAUUAAAUUUUAAUAGACGAGAAGCCCCUAUAAAACUUUAUAAAUAAUAUUGAUUUAGAUUAAUAUUAUUGAUUUAAAUUAAAUUAUUUAUUAUAUUGGGGAAAUGAAAAAAUAGUUUAAUUUUUUUAUAAAUAAUUAUAUAGAUAUAUAAAAAUUUAGAAAGAGUGUUUAAUUAAAAUUAUUAGAUUAAGUUACUUUAGGGAUAACAGCAUAAUAUUUUUAGAAAGUUCUUAUUGAUAAAAAUGUUUAUGACCUCGGUGUUGAAUUAAAAUAAAUGUUAAAAGGAGAUUUUUAAUUAUUAAGUCUGUUCGACUUUUAAAAUUUUACAUGAUUUGAGUUAAAAUCGGUGUAAGCCAGAUUGGUUUCUAUCUUUAAAAUAUAAAUUUAAUAUUUGUACGAAAGGACUUUAUUAUUAGUUAAUUAGAUAAUUUUUAAAAUUAAAUAAAGAUAAGUAU
rnacentral:rRNA from 1 species